rnacentral:lncRNA from 1 species
UUAUUAUACCCCACGCAACGAAGUUGCGGAGGGUAUAAUGUUUUUGACCCGUCCGUCCGUCCGUCAGUCCGUCAGUCCUGUUUCUUGUCAUCGCAACUCCUCUCAAACCACACAACAGAAUUUCACGAAACCUUUUCAGAUAAUAAGGACAUACUAUGUAGUUGUGCAUAUCGACGGGAAAUUGCGAUUCAAUUUUUUUUCUAGGAGUUACGCCCC